CACGUAGGCACCAAGCGUUAUCCGGAUUUAUUGGGCGUAAAGAGCUCGUAGGCGGUUCAGUCAGUCGGGUGUGAAAACUUGAGGCUUAACCUCAAGAGGUCACUCGAUACUACUGUGACUAGAGUGCGGUAGGGGAGCGGGGAAUUCCUGGUGUAGCGGUGAAAUGCGCAGAUAUCAGGAGGAACACCAGUGGCGAAGGCGCCGCUCUGGGCCGUAACUGACGCUGAGGAGCGAAAGCAUGGGUAGCAAACAGGAUUAGAUACCCCCGUA
rnacentral:rRNA from 1 species